rnacentral:rRNA from 1 species
GACGAACCGUGCGAACGUUGUUCGGAUUCACUGGGCUUAAAGGGCGCGUAGGCGGUCGACCAAGUCCGGGGUGAAAUCUUUCGGCUUAACCGGAAAAGUGCCUUGGAUACUGGUCGGCUGGAGGGAGGUAGGGGCAGCUGGAACUUCUGGUGGAGCGGUGAAAUGCGUUGAUAUCAGAAGGAACGCCGGUGGCGAAAGCGAGCUGCUGGACCUUUUCUGACGCUGAGGCGCGAAAGCUAGGGGAGCAAACGGG